rnacentral:rRNA from 1 species
UACGGGGGGGGCAAGCGUUGUUCGGAAUCACUGGGCGUAAAGGGCCAGUAGGCGGCUUGGCAAGUCAGGUGUGAAACCUCCAGGCUCAACCUGGAGACGCCACUUGAUACUGCUAUGGCUAGAGUCCGGUAGGGGAGCAUGGAAUACCCGGUGUAGCGGUGAAAUGCGCAGAUAUCGGGUGGAACACCAGUGGCGAAGGCGGUGCUCUGGGCCGGAACUGACGCUGAAUGGCGAAAGCGUGGGUAGCAAACAGG